GCAUAUCAAUAAGCGGAGGAAAAGAAACCAACAGGGAUUGCCUCAGUAACGGCGAGUGAAGCGGCAACAGCUCAAAUUUGAAAUCUGGCCUCUUUGGGGUCCGAGUUGUAAUUUGUAGAGGAUGUUUCGGGUACCGCCUCGGUCUAAAUUUCUUGGAACAGAAUGUCAAAGAGGGUGAGAAUCCCGUCUUGGACCGGCGGUAGGGCCCAUGUGAAACUCCUUCGACGAGUCGAGUUGUUUGGGAAUGCAGCUCAAAAUGGGUGGUAAAUUUCAUCUAAAGCUAAAUAUUGGCCAGAGACCGAUAGCGCACAAGUAGAGUGAUCGAAAGAUGAAAAGCACUUUGAAAAGAGAGUUAAACAGUAUGUGAAAUUGUUGAAAGGGAAGCGCUUGCAACCAGACUUGAGCGCGGCGGUUCCCCCUUCCUUUUGGUUGGGUUACUCCGCCGUGUCCAGGCCAACAUCGGUUCUGGGGGUCGGUUAAAGGCUCGAGGAAUGUAUCUACUCCUUCGGGGGUAGACUUAUAGCCUCGGGUGUCAUGCGACCUCCCGGGACCGAGGAACGCGCUUCGGCUCGGAUGUUGGCGUAAUGGUUGUCAGCGACCCGUCUUGAAACACGGACCAAGGAGUCUAACAUCUAUGCGAGUGUUUGGGUGUCAAACCCGGAACGCGGAAUGAAAGUGAACGGAGGUAGGAAGCCGCAAGGCUGCACUAUCGACCGAUCCUGAUGUCUUCGGAUGGAUUUGAGUAAGAGCAUAGCUGUUGGGACCCGAAAGAUGGUGAACUAUGCCUGAAUAGGGUGAAGCCAGAGGAAACUCUGGUGGAGGCUCGCAGCGGUUCUGACGUGCAAAUCGAUCGUCAAAUUUGGGUAUAGGGGCGAAAGACUAAUCGAACCAUCUGGUAGCUGGUUCCUGCCGA
rnacentral:rRNA from 1 species